CCCUUGGCUCUGUCCUUGCAUCCGAAGAUGUUGCCCUUUGGAAUGCCAUUGUGCCUGGCUGUCUCUGUCCGUCUCCUGCUGCUAAAUAAGUAAAGAAAUGAGAAUAGUCAUGUGAAGUUGAUUUUUCCAAAGAAAGAAUUUCUAGACAACUGCAGCAUUAAAAUGCUCAGAUUCAGAGAAGUUCUACCCUUUCUGCUCUGAAGUUAGCAUCAAGCACCUGCAACUACUUCUGUGGUCCCAGAGCCACUGAAGAAUGCAUGUUGGAUUGCCUGCUUUUCUGAUGCUGAAAAGGAAGAGUCAGAACGCAUCGUCCCAUGCUAGCUGUGGCUUCUCCAUGGAAGGCACUUACGUCUGGCUUCAGAUCACAUUAGCAGUUUAAGAGCCAGAGGAAAAGGUAUAUUUC